GAGUUUGAUUAUGGCUCAGGAUGAACGCUAGCGGCAGGCCUAAUACAUGCAAGUCGAACGGUGUCUUCGGACAUAGUGGCGCACGGGUGCGUAACACGUAUGCAACCUACCUUACAUUGGGGGAUAGCCUUUCGAAAGGGAGAUUAAUACCGCAUAAGACAGUAGCUGGGCAUCCAGCAGCUGUUAAAGAUUUAUCGAUGUAAGCUGGGCAUGCGUCCAAUUAGCUAGUUGGUGAGGUAAUGGCUCACCAAGGCAAUGAUUGGUAGGGGAACUGAGAGGUCAAUCCCCCACACUGGCACUGAGAUACGGGCCAGACUCCUACGGGAGGCAGCAGUAGGGAAUAUUGGGCAAUGGACGCAAGUCUGACCCAGCCAUGCCGCGUGCAGGAUGAAGGCGUUAUGCGUUGUAAACUGCUUUUAUACAGGAAGAAACGACUCUUGCGAGAGGCAUUGACGGUACUGUAUGAAUAAGCACCGGCUAACUCCGUGCCAGCAGCCGCGGUAAUACGGAGGGUGCAAGCGUUGUCCGGAUUUAUUGGGUUUAAAGGGUGCGCAGGUGGUUUAUUAAGUCAGUG
rnacentral:rRNA from 1 species